GUGCUCGCUACGGCAACACAUAUAUUAAACUGGAAUGAUACAGAGAAGAGUAGCAUGGCCCCUGUGCAAGGAUGACAUGCAAAUUCCUGAAGCGUUCCAUAUUUUU
rnacentral:snRNA from 1 species